rnacentral:rRNA from 1 species
GACGAACGCUGGCGGCGUGCUUAACACAUGCAAGUCGAACGAUGAAGCCGGAGCUUGCUCCGGUGGAUUAGGGGCGAACGGGUGAGUAACACGUGAGCAAUCUGCCCUUGACUCUGGGAUAACUGCGGGAAACUGUAGCUAAUACCGGAUACGACACCUUGGGGCAUCCCAGGGUGUGGAAAGAAUUUCGGUCAAGGAUGAGCUCGCGGCCUAUCAGCUAGUUGGUGAGGUAAUGGCUCACCAAGGCGACGACGGGUAGCCGGCCUGAGAGGGUGACCGGCCACACUGGAACUGAGACACGGUCCAGACUCCUACGGGAGGCAGCAGUGGGGAAUAUUGCACAAUGGGCGAAAGCCUGAUGCAGCAACGCCACGUGAGGGAUGAAGGCCUUCGGGUUGUAAACCUCUUUUAGCAGGGAAGAAGCGAAAGUGACGGUACCUGCAGAAAAAGCACCGGCUAACUACGUGCCAGCCGCCGCGGUAA